CCAGACCCACCUUGCAUCGAUCCAGGCCUGCUAUAGUUCUUCGCGAUCGUGACUUUCUGCCUAUCUCUUUUCGAUCUUAAGUCGGGCCAUGCAAGUUUUCCAGAGUCCUUAUUCUCUUUUGCUGCCACACAGCACCAGACAGGUCUAGGUAAACGUGUCCUCGCGUCUUCAGGGAUGAUCAUACACUGCUAUUGAUUAAUAACGUCUUUAGAGAUCAUUUGAGGCCCCCUCGGUGGAGAUCGCUUGUACUCUGGCCAGCAAGGCGCCUUGCAGGGUACGCAUCACUGCCCACCAACAUACACCAAAAGCCUUCUUGAGG
rnacentral:lncRNA from 1 species